UGUCGGGUAAGUUCCGACCUGCACGAAUGGCGUAACGACUUCUCAACUGUCUCAACCAUAGACUCGGCGAAAUUGCACUACGAGUAAAGAUGCUCGUUACGCGCGGCAGGACGAAAAGACCCCGGGACCUUCACUAUAGCUUGGUAUUGGCGUUUGGUUCGGUUUGUGUAGGAUAGGUGGGAGACUGUGAAGCAGGCACGCCAGUGUUUGUGGAGUCAUCGUUGAAAUACCACUCUGAUCGUAUUGAACCUCUAACCUCGGACCGUAUAUCCGGUCCAGGGACAGUGCCUGGUGGGUAGUUUAACUGGGGCGGUUGCCUCCCAAAAUGUAACGGAGGCGCCCAAAGGUUCCCUCAACCUGGACGGCAAUCAGGUGUUGAGUGCAAGUGCACAAGGGAGCUUGACUGCGAGACCUACAAGUCAAGCAGGGACGAAAGUCGGGACUAGUGAUCCGGCACCUCUGAGUGGAAGGGGUGUCGCUCAACGGAUAAAAGGUACCCCGGGGAUAACAGGCUGAUCUUCCCCAAGAGUCCAUAUCGACGGGAUGGUUUGGCACCUCGAUGUCGGCUCGUCGCAUCCUGGGGCUGGAUGCAGGUCCCAAGGGUUGGGCUGUUCGCCCAUUAAAGCGGCACGCGAGCUGGGUUUAGAACGUCGUGAGACAGUUCGGUCUCUAUCCGCCGCGCGCGUCAGAAACUUGAGGAAACCUGUCCCUAGUACGAGAGGACCGGGACGGACGAACCUUCUGGUGUACCAGUUGUUCCACCAGGAGCACGGCUGGAUAGU
rnacentral:rRNA from 1 species